GACGAACGCUGGCGGCGUGCCUAACACAUGCAAGUCGAACGGGGUUGAGUGCUUCGGUAUUCAACCUAGUGGCGAACGGGUGAGUAACGCGUGAAGAACCUGCCUUUCAGUGGGGGACAACAGCUGGAAACGGCUGCUAAUACCGCAUGACAUAUAUUAAGGGCAUCCUUGAUAUAUCAAAGAUUUUAUCGCUGAAAGAUGGCCUCGCGUCCGAUUAGAUAGUUGGCGGGGUAACGGCCCACCAAGUCGACGAUCGGUAGCCGGACUGAGAGGUUGACCGGCCACAUUGGGACUGAGAUACGGCCCAGACUCCUACGGGAGGCAGCAGUGGGGAAUAUUGGGCAAUGGACGCAAGUCUGACCCAGCAACGCCGCGUGAAGGAAGAAGGCUUUCGGGUU
rnacentral:rRNA from 1 species